UUCGUCUCUUGCUUCACAGAGGAACCCCUUGUUUCCGUGGAUAUGGAAGGCGCAAUGGAGAACGUAGGAGGAAGUCUGUGCGUGGAUGCAUUGUGAGCCCUGACCUCUCUGUUUUGAACUUGGUAAUCGUGAAGAAGGGAGAGAAUGAUUUGCCUGGACUGACUGAUACUGAGAAACCAAGAAUGAGGGGACCAAAGAGAGCAUCCAAGAUCCGCAAACUCUUUAAUCUCUCAAAGGAGGAUGAU
rnacentral:misc_RNA from 1 species